AAGUAAAAUUCACUACUGUUACGAAAAAUUAUUAUUCUGUCAUUUAGGUUUAGGGUUGUGGAUAUUUUUCAGAUAAAUUUGAGGAGCGCAUAACAGUAAAGGUAGAUCCUAAAAUCCUUUAAGUGACGGAUUAGGAAACGGCUAUUAUUGGAGCUUCACUGGUCAUGAGAUUCACAAAGUGUAUUUCCUUUCCUCCAUUUCAUUUACAUGUUGCGGUAAGAAAAUCCCACUGAGAGGGAAUCCCAUUAAGGACAUGUGAUCGAAUAAUAGACACAUGCUUGUGUUUACUACCUGCAGUAUCAGAUUCAGAUCAACACUUACUUUGCAUACUCCACAUCUAAACAAAACUCCAUCUCAAUUUUCUUUUUUGAAAUUUUCUCUCCAUUGGAAUAUCUUGCUUGUUGCUGGGAUCUAAAAAAAAUCGACAAAAAGAGGGAUUUGAAAUAAACCAAUUCACAUACUGUAAUUCAAAUAUACUGUCAAAUCCUAAAAAAAAUAUGAUAAAAUAAUAUUAAAUACUUUAUAGGGUCAUUUCAUGAUGAAGAGAUGCAUACGCAACACUUUCUCCAAUGUGGGUUACACCUGGUGAUAUGCAAACCUUUAUAAUGAAAGUGACCUUUCGACACUAUUAUAAACAAAUCAUAAAUACAAUAAACAGACACAAGAUUAUUAUUGAAAGGAUAGCCCCUAGAGUCCAUUCCCACACCUGAAUCGGCACAAGUAACUGCAUCUUUAUGGAAAACAGAGUAGGCAUUAGCUGCACCGCUGUUUGUUUCAUGCAAAUUUGUCGUGUUGGAAAGAGCUUGGUGGACUACGUCACUGUAAAAUCCUUAACAGUGUCCAGCUCAAGGUAUAAAUGUCAUUGAAUCACUCCAUACCUGCAUUCCUGCUCUGCCUUGUGGAUCAGUGGAUUUAGACAUUUCUGGGCUCCAACGCUGUGAAAGAUUUAAAGAAUGAAUAUUUGCUUGCUGUUGGUGGCUCUUUCUGCUGCCGCAUCUGCUCACCAUCUUAAAUCUCAGGACUGUUUCGACUGCAGUCAGCCUUGUGAUAACGCACAAUUCAAUCAAAUUUUAGAUCAACAUAACAAAAACAUAAAUCGUUCAGAUUGCAGAGGAGUGAACCUGUACAAGAACAACAAAAUAAAACCCUGGAAAUGCAAACUGACUGUUCUAAAACAUUUGGACAUGUUUCCUAAAUGCUACUAUGAAGCCACAUGUGAAGAUUUCAAGUGUCACAGCAGUCAUACAACAGCAGUGCAAGUGAAACAAACAGUAAACAUGUUAAAAACAAAGAGCUGUGGAAAUGGCAAAAAUGUAUUUGUUGAAAUACCAGUCGAAAUCUCAGUAGCAUGCACAUGUAUAAGUAAACAAUUGUUAACAUUGUAUCAUUUAAACAAAAGAUAAUUUCAUACAAAACAGCCUUUUAUAAUUGUCCUUCAUAAUUAAUUUAUUACAAUAAUGUACAAAAAUCAAUAUGUCCG